rnacentral:lncRNA from 10 species
UCGGGAUCCUCUUCGUAAUGCCAGUUGUCGGUUCUAACUGAGUUGGCUUAGAAUUACAAUCAGGAGAAAGGAAUGUUCUUUUGCUAAUGAAAGAGGAGAAAUUGGCAAUGUUCCAGUCCCAAGUCUAGGCCUCGGGAGGCUUGCAUUUUGCCAAAUUAUGAUCCCCUUCUCAGCUGCUGCUCUUUCAGCAUGGACGCUAUCACAAACACAUGGAAAAUGGCCUUCCCUAGUUAAUCCCAGCCAAACCAAACCCAGGUGCAAACUAGAGCCACACAGCCAAACCCACCCUACACCA